GCCCUGCUUUUCCUCCCUGAGCAGGUGCCUUACCGUGAUGACAGCGAUAAGGCUUCACUCGCUGGAUGGUCCUGCUGUCCAGCGAGUUUUCUUUU
rnacentral:ncRNA from 1 species